rnacentral:rRNA from 1 species
GAUGAACGCUAGCGGCAGGCCUAAUACAUGCAAGUCGAACGGAUAUAUGUUUUUCGGAAUAUAUAUUAGUGGCGCACGGGUGAGUAACACGUACAUAACUUGCCCUCAAGCGGGGGAUAGCCUUGGGAAACUGAGAGUAAUACCCCAUAGAAUUAUUGGACGGCAUCGUUUGAUAAUUAAAACUACGGUGCUUGGGGAUAGAUGUGCGUCUGAUUAGCUAGUUGGUGAGGUAACUGCUCACCAAGGCGACGAUCAGUAGGGGGCGUGAGAGCGUGGCCCCCCACACGGGUACUGAGACACGGACCCGACUCCUACGGGAGGCAGCAGUAAGGAAUAUUGGUCAAUGGAGGGAACUCUGAACCAGCCAUGCCGCGUGAAGGAUGACGGCCCUCUGGGUUGUAAACUUCUUUUGGAUGGGGCGAAAAAACGGGNUUUAUCCUGGACUGACGGUACCAUCAGAAUAAGCACCGGCUAACUCCGUGCCAGCAGCCGCGGUAAAGU